rnacentral:rRNA from 1 species
CCUACGGGGGGCAGCAGUGGGGAAUAUUGGACAAUGGGGGAAACCCUGAUCCAGCGACGCCGCGUGAGUGAAGAAGUAUUUCGGUACGUAAAGCUCUAUCAGCAGGAAAGAAAAUGACGGUACCUGACUAAGAAGCCCCGGCUAACUACGUGCCAGCAGCCGCGGUAAUACGUAGGGGGCAAGCGUUAUCCGGAUUUACUGGGUGUAAAGGGAGCGUAGACGGCAGCGCAAGUCUGGAGUGAAAUGCCGGGGCCCAACCCCGGAACUGCUCUGGAAACUGUGAAGCUGGAGUGCAGGAGGGGUAAGUGGAAUUCCUAGUGUAGCGGUGGAAUGCGUAGAUAUUAGGAGGAACAUCAGGGGCGAAGGCGACUUACUGGACUGUAACUGACACUGAGGCACGAAAGCGUGGGGAGCAAACAGGAUUAGAUACCCGGGUAGUC